UUUGGAGGGCAAGUCUGGUGCCAGCAGCCGCGGUAAUUCCAGCUCCAAUAGCGUAUAUUAAAGUUGUUGCAGUUAAAAAGCUCGUAGUUGAAUUUCGGGGUCAGUAGAUUGGUCAUGCCUCCGGUAUGUACUGGUCUUACUGAUUCAUCCUUCCUGAUGAACCGUAAUGCCAUUAAUUUGGUGUUGCGGGAAAACUGGACUGUUACUUUGAAAAAAUUAAAGGGUUUAAAGCAGGA
rnacentral:rRNA from 1 species